CCCCUCUCAGGGUCACACCUGGAGAGUUUCCAAUAGUCUACCAGGCUUGACUUUGGGAGGAGAAUCAAGCAGAGUCAUAUUCAUUCCAUUUCUAGCUUGGGCAAUGGCUAGAGAGUGGAAGGCAAUCUGCUACAAGG